UCGAGAAUCUUUCGCAAUGGACGAAAGUCUGACGAAGCGACGCCGCGUGAGCGAUGAAGGUCUUCGGAUUGUAAAGCUCUGUCACCAGGGAAGCGGUACCUGGAGAGGAAGCCCCGGCUAACUCCGUGCCAGCAGCCGCGGUAAGACGGAGGGGGCGAGCGUUGUUCGGAUUUAUUGGGCGUAAAGAGCGUGUAGGUGGUUAUUUAAGUCGAGCGUGAAAGCCUCUGGCUCAACCAGAGAUCGUCGCUCGAAACUGGGUGACUAGAGGGUAGGAGAGGAGAGUGGAAUUCCUGGUGUAGCGGUGACAUGCGUAGAUAUCAGGAGGAACCCGAUGGCGAAGGCAGCUCUCUGGCCUACUACUGACACUGAUACGCGAAAGCGUGGGGAGCAAACAGGAUUAGAUA
rnacentral:rRNA from 1 species